GCACAGUAACACAGUGGGACUCGAGAUUCCUCCGCGGAGGUGCUGCUGCUGCUGUUUUACAAACACAGCUUUGAAAUCAAACGCUUGUCCAUGCGCUCGUACCCUUAUUAUCUCUUCCCUCGCGAAAAGACGAGAGUGAGCGCUGCGAAUGCCACCCAAAAGAAAAGAGGACCAAGGCGAGGUGCUAACAGACACGUUUCGCUACCCAGACGGGAGUUUUUAUGAGGGCAAGUACGGAAUCAAGCACGACGCUAAUGCGGAGGCGGUAUCUGCGGUGUCUGCGACCUCAUCCCUUUCCACCGCAGCGAAGAAGCACGGUCCCGCCGGUGGCGCUGCUGCUGCGGCAACGGUUGCAUCUUCGUCUGCGCCCGCGACGCUGAAUGCGUACAUGCACGGCUAUGGCAUCCUCGCCGAUUCGUCCUCUGCCCGCUACGAAGGGGAGUGGCGCAAUGGCCUGAUGGAGGGAAUGGGGGUUCUAUCGCUUCCCAGCGGUGGUCGUUACACGGGGGAGUUUGCACGCAACGAAUUUCACGGGACGGGGCGCUACAUGUGGGCGGAUGGCUCGUAUUAUGAAGGGGAGUGGUGCCGAAACCAAAUGCACGGACUCGGCGUCUAUGUGGACUGCACGGGUAAGCGAUGGCACGGCACCUUCACCAACGGUAACGCGGCGCAACUUGUUGCAAAAGUGGAGCUGUGAAGGCUGCAGUUCCGUUAACGCUCAUCCCGUAUCACAUCCCCUCCUUCCCCCCUGAUCCGCCACGGUAGAGCUGUUUCUUUCCGAUGACGCGAUGUACAUAGAAGCAGAGGCGGCCUUCUUUCUCCCCCUUGUACAAGUGACACUGAGGCGCGUUCUCCUCGCGUUCCCCACCCGCUUCUUUCAUUGAAAACAGGAAGAAGGGACGCGCGAGACCCUUCUCGAGCUUCCACUGAGUGUCAAGAGCAGCAUUAUGAGGAGGAGGGAAAGGCGAAGGCAGCGAGCGAGACUCAAGUGCAGACGCGAACAUCUAUCAUCUUGGAGUCGCACACACCGUCCACUGCAUUAGCUGCGGUUCAUUUCAGUUGCCGCUUGAAGGAAGCAUGCAAACAACAACGCGAACACCGGAUGAGCCCAGGCUUGGGGGGGGGGACAGAGGAUGCAUGUAUGUCGGCGUUUUUCAUUCUUGUAUCUGUUUCGGUCUAUGUCUCUCAGCUCAUCUCCCUUUCCUUUCAUUCCGCUCUCUUCUCCUCUCUUGUUCCGUUCUCCCCUUGACAG
rnacentral:misc_RNA from 1 species